AUGCCAUCUCUAGGAAAACGAUAUACGCUUAUGUCAUGGUCACGAGAGAUGCUCCACCAGCAGAGGGCAGAAUCUAUGAUGAAAUCCCCCAGUCCAAGGAGCGCCCCGCCAAGGAGGAGCCCGUGAACGGGAUUUAUUCCACACUGCAGUCUGAGAAGAUGGGGAAGACCAGCACUCAGGACGGCAAACCUCCUGGGACUUCAACCUAUGAAAAUGUGAUUUAGGCUCCUGGACGGCAUUCACUCUGCAGACACUGAGCUUCCCACGUCAUGUGUUCCAGCAGAUGCCCCAGACCCAGACUCCCUCUGUUCGGAUCUUACCUGGACAUAGCAAACCAUCACCCCAAUACGGGACUUUUCGUGACUGGAGGUGAUGACCCUUCCCAGCAACCCCGUAUGUAGAAAGGAUUGAUGUUUCGCGCACCGCCUGGGACGCCCUGACCACGCUCAGUGUCCGGGAGGGGCCCCGGCGCACGGCCUCCACGGUCCACAC